rnacentral:tmRNA from 1 species
GGGGAUGACAGGCUUCGACGGGAGAGGCUGGUCCCGAAUGGCGAGCCGAGAGGUGCCGACCUCGUAAAAUCAGCACAAAACACAAGUGCCAACCGCACUUCCUACGCGGCUCUUCCCCUCGCUGCCUAACAGCCUGGCGUGAGCCCACCCUGAUCCCCUGACCGGGAUCACGUCUGCCUGCCCCGCUCCCUGACCGGUGGCAGAGCGGGCGCAACAAAGUCAGUGGUGCCAGGUGGUUUGCCGUGUCCCACCUGAAAGAGGGCUUUCGGGUCCCAGCGGCUGGUGGAUGACUGAUCCUGUCGGUCCCUCGUUCAUCCACAAGAACCAGGAUUGACUACGCUCGUAGAGGUUCGAGGAUCGAAUCUUUCGGACGCGGGUUCGAUUCCCGCCAUCUCCACU